UGUAGGAAGCACUGUAUGAGGCUCCAGAGGCAGCAGUUGGAAGGGAUAUGCAGAGGAGGAUUGAGAGAACGUUCCAUCAGCAAUUAUGGAGAUCCUACCUAGAUAACCUGUAGCCUGCCAGCUUGUCUGCCUGUUGCUGACACUCGCAUAGCUCACGUAUCUCCAGUCAGACAUCUCUUACGGUGGUAUUAGACUUCCUCUAAUCCUCGGCUCAUCUCCAUCUUAUCUUGGAAACUCACAGGAAAGUUUCUCCUCUCCCAGACACACUUCAUCCCACAUACAGCAAAGUUCUUGCACUAUAUUGGCUGGUAGAAUAUAAAUUUCCCCAUCAGAAGUACUGAUUCACCAAGCCUCAUCUAUACAGAGUAGUGUUGACCUCCAGUCUGUUCAUUACGACGAAAAUACGAUGACUUUUUAAAGCAUAGACACCGAUUUCCCUGCUUCUGAAGUUCACUAAUGCUCAGACGAUGGGAAUUCAUUUCUGUGCAAGCCCAAUAAUAUUAGCCUGUUUGCGGUCCAAGUAAGUACAAAAUGUCAUUAAACCAUUUAUACUGAUUUACUGGUUGGAUAGUACAUGCAAAAUCACUAUUGAGCGGAUGGAGUCUUGGCUGUGUAAUAAGAAGGCAGGCUAUUUUUCCAACCCUGUUUAAAUUUAGUUGAGGCCUAAUACCUGAAGCGAUUCACAUCGUCUUCUGAGCAAUGUCUCCGUUAUAUUAUGAUCAAGCCAUUUAUAUGUUUUGUGGGUUUUAGUGAUACUCUA